GUGGGGAAUCUUAGACAAUGGGCGCAAGCCUGAUCUAGCCAUGCCGCGUGAGCGAUGAAGGCCUUAGGGUUGUAAAGCUCUUUCAGCUGGGAAGAUAAUGACGGUACCAGCAGAAGAAGCCCCGGCUAACUCCGUGCCAGCAGCCGCGGUAAUACGGAGGGGGCUAGCGUUGUUCGGAAUUACUGGGCGUAAAGCGCACGUAGGCGGAUCAGAAAGUCAGAGGUGAAAUCCCAGGGCUCAACCUUGGAACUGCCUUCAAAACUCCUGGUCUGGAGUUCGAGAGAGGUGAGUGGAAUUCCGAGUGUAGAGGUGAAAUGCGUAGAUAUCUGGAGGAACAUCAGUGGCGAAGGCGACACCCUGGACCGAUACUGACACUGAGGUGCGAAAGCGUGGGUAGCGAACAGGAUUAGAAACCCGGGUAGUCC
rnacentral:rRNA from 1 species